GACGAACGCUGACGGUGUGCUUUAGGCAUGCAAGUCGAACGAGAAAGCCCUUCGGGGUGAGUAAAGUGGCGAACGGGUGAGUAACACGUGGGCAACCUGCCCCUCGCAGGGGGACAACCGGAGGAAACUCCGGCUAAUACCCCGUACGUUCUCAGGGUCGCAUGGCCCUGGGAGGAAAGGUAGCUUCGGCCAUCCGGCGAGGGAUGGGCCCGCGGUGCAUUAGCUAGUUGGUGGGGUAACGGCUCACCAAGGCAACGAUGCAUAGCUGGUCUGAGAGGAUGAUCAGCCACACUGGGACUGAGACACGGCCCAGACUCCUACGGGAGGCAGCAGCCAGGAAUCUUGGGCAAUGGGCGCAAGCCUGACCCAGCAACACCGUGUGGGCGAUGAAGGCCUUCGGGUCGUAAAGCCCUGUUGAUAGGGACGAAGGGCAAAGGGUUAAUAGCCCCUAGCCUGACGGUACCUUUCGAGGAAGCCCCGGCUAACUACGUGCCAGCAGCCGCCGUAACAC
rnacentral:rRNA from 1 species